rnacentral:rRNA from 1 species
CACGUAGGGCGCAAGCGUUGUCCGGAAUUAUUGGGCGUAAAGAGCUCGUAGGCGGUCUGUUGCGUCCGCUGUGAAAACUCGGGGCUUAACCCCGAGCCUGCAGUGGAUACGGGCAGACUAGAGGUAGGUAGGGGAGAAUGGAAUUCCCGGUGUAGCGGUGAAAUGCGCAGAUAUCAGGAGGAACACCGGUGGCGAAGGCGGCUUGCUGGGCCAGUUCUGACGCUGAGGAGCGAAAGCGUGGGGAGCGAACAGG